rnacentral:rRNA from 1 species
AAAGGACUUGGCGGUGCUUUAGACCCACCUAGAGGAGCCUGUUCUAGAACCGAUAAUCCCCGUUCAACCUCACCCUUCCUUGCUCGUCCCGCCUAUAUACCACCGUCGCCAGCUUACCCUGUGAAGGGUAAAAAGUAAGCAAAAUUGGCACUGCCCAGAACGUCAGGUCGAGGUGUAGCGAAUGGAAGGGGAAGAAAUGGGCUACAUUCCCUUUUAUAAACGAAGGGUAUAACGAAAGAUGCACUGAAACUGUACAUCUGAAGGAGGAUUUAGCAGUAAGCGGAAAGUAGAGUGUUCCACUGAAACUGGCUCUUAAGCGCGCACACACCGCCCGUCACUCUCCCCGAAACUUUACCAAAACAUUAAUUAAAAUGCCAAAAUCAUAGAGGGGAGGCAA